UCGAGAAUCUUCCGCAAUGGGCGAAAGCCUGACGGAGCGACGCCGCGUGGUGGAUGAAGUACUUCGGUACGUAAACACCUUUUAUGAGUGAAGAAGUAUAUUGACAUUAGCUCAUGAAUAAGGGGCUCCCAACUCUGUGCCAGCAGGAGCGGUAAUACAGAGGCCUCAAGCGUUAUCCGGAUUCACUGGGCGUAAAGGGUGCGUAGGCGGUGUUAUUAGUCGGGUGUUAAAUCCUUGGGCUCAACCCAAGAAUCGCAUUCGAAACGGUAACACUAGAAGUAGUCAGAGGUACAGAGAGCUCUCGGUGUAGGGGUGAAAUCCGUUGAUAUCGAGGGAAAUACCAAAUGCGAAGGCACUGUACUGGGGCUCACUUGACGCUGAGGCACGAAAGCUAGGGUAGCGAACGGGAUUAGAUACCCCCGUAGUCC
rnacentral:rRNA from 1 species